rnacentral:rRNA from 1 species
AGAAUAUUAGUCAAUGCUCGUAAGAGUGAACUAGCUAACUGAAAUCAUAAGAGUCACUUUGUUGAUGAUUAUGAUAACGUAAGGGAAAAAAUUGAUAUUACCUUACUAUAAGUGUUGUCCAAAACUAGUGCCAGAAGACUCGGUAAGGCUAGAAACGCAAACGUUAGUCGUCUUAAUCAGGCGUAAAGGGUGUGUAGGCUGCUUAAAUAUUUAAUGAUAAUGUAUUAUUUUAAAAUUAUAAAUUAUAGAUAGUGAAUAUAUAUAAAAUAUUAAAUAGAAAAUACAAAAAGAUAAAUUAAAAAAAGCUAGGAUCAAAUUGAGGAUAAACCAAAUAAUACUUAGAGUAGGGAUGAUAUCUAUAGAUACUAAGGGGAAUACUAAAGGUGAAAGCUUUUUAUCUACUACUGAUUGACGCUGAGAAACGAAGGUGAGAAUAGGAAAUAGGAUUAGAUACCCAGAUACCUCUCACUGUCAACGAUGAAUGGUAGUUUGUUAGUCUUUUUAAUAAAAACUAGUAACGAUGUUAACACGAUAACCAUUCCGCCUUGCGAGUACGGUUGCAAAACUGAAACCAAAAAAAUUAGUCGG